rnacentral:rRNA from 1 species
AGAAUCAACGCUGGCGGCGUGCCUAACACAUGCAAGUCGCACGAGAAAGGGGAGCAAUCCCUGAGUAAAGUGGCGCACGGGUGAGUAACACGUGAAUAAUCUACCUCCGAGUGGGGAAUAACCUAGAGAAAUCUGGGCUAAUACCGCAUAACACUUACGAGUCAAAGCAGCAAUGCGCUUGGAGAGGAGUUCGCGGCCGAUUAGUUAGUUGGCGGGGUAAUGGCCCACCAAGACGAUGAUCGGUA